AAAUUGAAGAGUUUGAUCAUGGCUCAGAUUGAACGCUGGCGGCAGGCCUAACACAUGCAAGUCGAGCGGUAGCACAGAGAGCUUGCUCUCGGGUGACGAGCGGCGGACGGGUGAGUAAUGUCUGGGAAACUGCCUGAUGGAGGGGGAUAACUACUGGAAACGGUAGCUAAUACCGCAUAACGUCGCAAGACCAAAGUGGGGGACCUUCGGGCCUCAUGCCAUCAGAUGUGCCCAGAUGGGAUUAGCUGGUAGGUGGGGUAACGGCUCACCUAGGCGACGAUCCCUAGCUGGUCUGAGAGGAUGACCAGCCACACUGGAACUGAGACACGGUCCAGACUCCUACGGGAGGCAGCAGUGGGGAAUAUUGCACAAUGGGCGCAAGCCUGAUGCAGCCAUGCCGCGUGUGUGAAGAAGGCCUUCGGGUUGUAAAGCACUUUCAGCGGGGAGGAAGGCGGUGAGGUUAAUAACCUCACCGAUUGACGUUACCCGCAGAAGAAGCACCGGCUAACUCCGUGCCAGCAGCCGCGGUAAUACGGAGGGUGCAAGCGUU
rnacentral:rRNA from 1 species